rnacentral:rRNA from 1 species
GAUGAACGCUGGCGGCGUGCCUAAUACAUGCAAGUCGAGCGAACGGACGAGAAGCUUGCUUCUCUGAUGUUAGCGGCGGACGGGUGAGUAACACGUGGAUAACCUCCCUAUAAGACUGGGAUAACUUCGGGAAACCGUAGCUAAUACCGGAUAAUAUUUUGAACCGCAUUGUUCAAAAGUGAAAGACGGUCUUGCUGUCACUUCUAGAUGGAUCCGCGCUGCAUUAGCUAGUUGGUAAGGUAACGGCUUACCAAGGCAAAGAUGCAUAGCCGACCUGAGAGGGUGAUCGGCCACACUGGAACUGAGACACGGUCCAGACGCCUACGGGAGGCAGCAGUAGGGAAUCGUACGCAAUGGGCGAAAGCCUGACGGAGCAACGCCGCGUGAGUGAUGAAGGUCUUCGGAUCGUAAAACUCUGUUAUUAGGGAAGAACAUAUGUGUAAGUAACUGUGCACAUCUUGACGGUACCUAAUCAGAAAGCCACGGCUAACUACGUG